AAGAAUUCCACAGCCUGUGCACGCCAAGGAAGAAAAGGACACCCCUGGUGUCCAAGUGCAGCCUGCUGGAGGUGAGUGCCUCGAUGAGGAGCACCCUCCCGCUACGAGCACGCCAAACACACUGUGCACACGGAGGCUCCCGUGCACGAGGACAACGGUCUGUGCACCAGGACAACACUCCAUGCACGAGGACAACGGUCCGUGCACCAGCACAACACUCCGUGCAUGAGGACAACGGUCCGUGCACCAGGACAACACUCCAUGCACCAGGACAACGGUCCGUGCACCAGGACAACGGUUCCAGUGACAUCACAACAGCAGCUGCUCUAGCUUUGCUUGCAGAUGUAUGCAGAGCCCCUGAAUGUUCUCUACAGCUAAUGCCAAAAAAAUGUUGGAAAAUUCUCCUCUGUCACUGGAAGCCUGUCCCACUGCCCUGGAAUGCCCUGUACAUGGAAAGCCCAAGACUGUGGGUUUAGAAGAGCCAAAAACCACAGCCUCACAGAUCUGCCCCAAGAUCCCACACUACCUGUAGGAUGACUUGCAGACAUUUCAUCCCCAUGAAAAUCAGGUGCAAUUGGUCUCUGUCAAAAUCUAGAGCUAAAAGCAGGACCCAGCUUGAAAAAGAAAAGAAAGGAAUGUCAAUGGAAGGAAAGAAAGGGCACAAAACUCCUCUGGAAAUGAGCUCUGCCCUUCCAUGGAAUAAGGAUUUGAGGCUUAGCUUGUUUUCCUGGUGAUUUAGUGCAGACAUCAAGGGACUAUCCUCUGGUGGUGGACAACAGAGUGUCCUUUAGAAGCUUUAUCCUGGGCUUGUAGUGCUUAGUAAGGCAAACACAUUUGGUGCAAUGGUCGCUGGUGUGUGAUUCAAAGGCACACCCUGAUACAAUUGAUUUCCAGCUUCCCAGGGAACACUGCGUGGUAACAAAUCUGCCUUUCAGCUCUCCAACUCCUUACACUGGGGUGUACCACAGCUGCUGAGGAGGUCUCUUUGUUGAGCUCCUGUAGCUCUGCAGGUUCUCUGCUGUAAAUAUUACAGAACGCAGGGACUCGGAAAACAAGCUGAGAGUGCCCAAGGCUUGGAGGAAAUCUUGGGCUCCACCUUACAGUGUGCUGCUGCAGUGCUCUGACAGCUCAAAGAAGCCUUUUGGUCCUAUGUCACACCCCUGGGAGCUUCCCUGUGCACAUCCGUGAGCCACAGAGGUCAGGCCGUAAUGGGCGUAAAGAAAGACAGACGGACAGAAAAGCAAGUUCAAAGAGAAGGAAAUCUCUUUUCUGUUUCAAGCCCCUGAAAGUCCUGAAGAGGAGAGAGGAGGCGACAGGCAAACAGUGCUCAUAUUAUCAGUUCACACACUUUAACCUGGCGCUGCCAAGCCCACCAUAUCCCCAGGUGCCUCAUCUACAUGUCUUUUAAAUGCCUUCAGGGAAGGCGACCCUACCAGUGCCCUCUCCAGCCUGUUCUUGAAACUCAAUCAAAAUAAAUUAAAAAGAAAAAGUUUACUCGCAGGGAGUGUGCCACUUUCUACUCUUACAGCAGACUGUAGAAUCGUCCUCACCACAGACAAGUGUACCCAGUCAGGACUUCCAGCUGGAAUGAAAAAGCCCCAGAACUCUCAAACUUCAAAGCCCAGAGUUCUGCUGCUCCCAAUCCUUCCUUCUCUGAGAAUCCCAAAUGAUGAUUUCAUGAUGGCUGAGCCCGAUGGCCUCCAACCAUCACAGCACCCACCAGUCCUUCUCUGUUCACAAACAACAGGUCUAAUGGGUGCCUUCCCUCAUUCUGCCUUUGUGCUUUGAAAAGUUCUCACGUAUUUGUUGGCUCCAGUCUUUCUUGGAGCACUGCCUGGGGUGGCUUCAUUCCCUUCCCCAUGUGAAACAGACCGUAACUUGCUCAGACUGUUCCUCCAUCUUUUGUGGAAGAAUAAAAGUUGGCAUAUGUUUCCAUCAGUGGAGUGCCUGAUGGAAAAAGAAGGGGAAAAAGAUUAAGAAGUUCAAAUGCUCAAGAAAUGAAGAAGAGAGAAAAAGCUGAAGUAAAGAGAAAAAAAGGAAGUAGCAGAAACUGGAUCGGAGAGGAUUGGAUUUAGAGACAAUAAGGUCCAAACCUUGUGAUCUUAUGUGCAAAUCGCACCACAGGAACAUUGCAAAACCAGGGCCCAGACUUUGGUCCCCACAGACCUUAAGCCACCUCUGGUCUGAGGUGCGAUAUUGGAAACGUAUUAAGAUGGAAAUAAGUACUGUUUUUCUUCACAAAACUGUCCUAAAUCUGUCCGGAGAGAUCAAAUCUUGUGUCUCUGUGAUCAGAUGUAAGCUCCACAACCAAAACCACAAAAGAACCUGUCCAUUUGUUUUUAAGAAUACACCUGAAUUUAGCAAGUAAUUCUGGAGAUCACAAACAGUAUCUCUGAAGAUUUACAGAUUUGUUAAUUUAAAAUAAAAAUGGGGUCAAGUUGCAUGUAGCACUUCAAAUGACACAGGCAGGAUUUCAGCACCUCAGGGCCACGUCUCUGCUUCUGGAAGCAAAAGAUCUUCUAUUUCUCACAGGUGAGCAAAGCGACUUUUCCUGGAGAGUGCAAGUGUUGCUAGCGAAGCGAUAGACUGCUGUGUAAGGUGUGAUGUUGGCCUUUCACCUUCUUCCCCAAGAGUUCCAUCACAAAGCAUACAAAAGGAGACUGAAGGCUCCAACUUCACAGCACAGCUUCAGAUCUCUUAGCACAGCAAGUCAUCAG